GACGAACGCUGGCGGCGUGCUUAGCACAUGCAAGUCGAGCGGUAAGGCCCUUUCGGGGUACACGAGCGGCGAACGGGUGAGUAACACGUGGGUGACCUGCCCUCAGCUCUGGGAUAAGCCUGGGAAACCGGGUCUAAUACUGGAUAUGACUCCAUGACGCAUGUUGUGGGGUGGAAAGCCUUGUGCGGCUGAGGAUGGGCCCGCGGCCUAUCAGCUUGUUGGUGGGGUGAUGGCCUACCAAGGCGACGACGGGUAGCCGGCCUGAGAGGGCGACCGGCCACACUGGGACUGAGACACGGCCCAGACUCCUACGGGAGGCAGCAGUGGGGAAUCUUGCGCAAUGGGCGAAAGCCUGACGCAGCGACGCCGCGUGAGGGAUGACGGCCU
rnacentral:rRNA from 1 species